rnacentral:rRNA from 1 species
AGAACGAACGCUGGCGGCAUGCCUAAUACAUGCAAGUCGAACGAACUCUUCGGAGUUAGUGGCGCGCGGGUGCGUAACGCGUGGGAAUCUGCCCCUUGGUUCGGAAUAACAGUUGGAAACGACUGCUAAUACCGGAUGAUGACGAAAGUCCAAAGAUUUAUCGCCAAGGGAUGAGCCCGCGUAGGAUUAGCUAGUUGGUGAGGUAAAGGCUCACCAAGGCAACGAUCCUUAGCUGGUCUGAGAGGAUGAUCAGCCACGCUGGGACUGAGA